rnacentral:rRNA from 1 species
AUACGGAGGGUGCAAGCGUUAUUCGGAAUCACUGGGCGUAAAGGACGCGUAGGCAGGUUGGCAAGUCAGAUGUGAAAUCCUACAGCUUAACUGUAGAACUGCAUUUGAAACUGCUAACCUAGAGUAUGGGAGGGGGAGAUGGAAUUAGUGGUGUAGGGGUAAAAUCCGUAGAUAUCACUAGGAAUACCGAAAGCGAAGGCGAUCUCCUGGAACAUAACUGACGCUAAGGCGUGAAAGCGUGGGGAGCAAACAGGAUUAGAAACCCUCAGUAGUCC